GAUGAACGCUGGCGGCGUGCCUAAUACAUGCAAGUAGAACGCUGAAGGAGGAGCUUGCUCUUCUGGAUGAGUUGCGAACGGGUGAGUAACGCGUAGGUAACCUGCCUGGUAGCGGGGGAUAACUAUUGGAAACGAUAGCUAAUACCGCAUGACAACAGUUAUUGCAUGAUAACUGUUUAAAAGGGGCAACUGCUCCACUACCAGAUGGACCUGCGUUGUAUUAGCUAGUUGGUGAGGUAACGGCUCACCAAGGCGACGAUACAUAGCCGACCUGAGAGGGUGAUCGGCCACACUGGGACUGAGACACGGCCCAGACUCCUACGGGAGGCAGCGGUAGGGAAUCUUCGGCAAUGGACGGAAGUCUGACCGAGCAACGCCGCGUGAGUGAAGAAGGUUUUCGGAUCGUAAAGCUCUGUUGUAAGAGAAGAACGAGUGUGAGAGUGGAAAGUUCACACUGUGACGGUAUCUUACCAGAAAGGGACGGCUAACUACGUG
rnacentral:rRNA from 1 species